GAUGAACGCUACUAGUAUGCUUAACACAUGCAAGUCUAACGAAAAUUUAUAUUUUCGUGGCGAACGGGUGAGUAUAUACAGAAUUUUUCCUUUCAGUUUUGAACAAAAAUUUCUUUUUAGAAAUCAAAUUCAAAAUAUUAUAAAGGUUUACUUUUUAAGUGUUCCGCUGAAAGAUAAAUCUGUUAAAGAUUAGGUUGUUGGUAAUUUAAAAGCUUACCAAGCCGAUGAUCUUUAGUUGGUCUUAGAGGAUGAUCAACCACACUGGAACUGAAAUAAGGUCCAGGCUGACAUGUCGGCCAGCAGUGAGGAAUAUUGGACAAUGAACGAAAGUUUGAUCCAGCAAUACUAAUUGGGUGAUGACGGCUUAUUUAAGUUGUAAGAUCCUUUAAAUUAAAGAAGAUAAUGACAUUAUUUAAUUGAACUAGUCCUGGCUAAUACUCGUG
rnacentral:rRNA from 1 species